UACUCUUUGUCCUCUGGACAGCUUUGUGGAGCACCUCAGGUUGAGGACCCCGUCAUGGGAACGACAGGAGGGGCCCUGCCAGCUGCGCAAUUCAGUAGAUCCAGACAGCGCGAUUGAAAUACCAUGGACGGCACGGACUGAACAUCUGAGGACCUUCUCCAGAUCUCUCACUCCAGCCUUUGGGAUUCCUUGUUCUACACUGAGCCCGAGACAAGAGCCGUCAACAGCUUCCACAUGAGCAGGGCUGUGGCGUCGGGUGCGUCGGAGCGGAAGUUGAGGAAAUUGCCGCGGACCGGGGCGGCGCUCCGAGGGGCCGCCAGCCAUGAGGACGUCGAGUAAAACACCUCCAGCAUCGGUGUUCGCCCGGGAAACACUCAUCCACAUUGUCUGGUGCUUUCAUCUCUGUUACACACACACACACAAACCAUGAAUCGCAUCCAUUCUGCCACUCGUCCCUUAAUACCCUCACUAGUAUGCCAGGAAUGGCGAGGCCACCUUAAAGUCGCAGUCGACCGUGAGCGGCUGUUAAUGAAUUCGAGCCCCAAGUUGCCUCGCAACGUGGAGCAUCAACCAGAGCAUCGAUGUCAGCGCUCACAUCGACAUCUCAGAUAACACAAAUAGAUGCCUGGGAGAUGAAUGAAUGAAUGAAUGAAACUUUAUUAAUCCGCUAGUGAAACUCCUCUUGGUUGCUGCAUGGUACAAUAUUUACAUUUACAUUUACAUGUAUUAAUUUAUCAGACACUUUUCCCCAAAG